GAAUCCAACUAUGCUCGAAGCUAAAUCUAUCCCUGAACUUUUCAGCAAUGGGAGCCCAUUGAUUCCACUGUUGUUAUUUUUGUUGAAGGCAAUAUGAUUUCUAUUUCUGAUCUGGGCAACCAACCCAUCCAUCUUCCAAACCCAACCAAGGCAUUUUUCUCUGAAGUCUUUUUUUUUUCUUUGCACUGGUCUGGGAGUCAGCAGGUUUUAUAGCAGGUUCAGAUUUGCCAUCAGCACUACCAUGUCCUGUGAUCAAAGUCAAUGGAAAAAGAACCCAAUUCUGGCAGGACUACCAAUGUAUUCGGUUGGUGGAAAAGUAAUCGUGGUUUUUGCCAUUGAAAGUAACACCCCAGACUCUUCAGGAGUGAGGGUUUGGGUCACCCUGUUACCGGAAAGCGGUCCCAAUCCAGACCCCAAGAGAGAGUUCUUGGAUCUCACACAAGAGAAUUCAGGGGAACUAAACUCUAAACGAAGUGAAAUAAAGUUGGAGAGAACUUUAACCUCGCUGCCAUGGAAACCACAUUUCUCACUCAUGGGGCAAGGAGGGUUUAUGUGAGGAUUUCCUGAGUUGAUAAGGUAUCUGGACAUUGGCAAUUCCAGGUAUUUGAUUGACAAGCAGGAAAUCGUAAGGAUUUCCUAAGAUUGACUAGCCGA